rnacentral:lncRNA from 7 species
AUAACUUCCAGUGGCGCGCGCAGUACCUCAGGCCUUGUGGUGCUGCUGCUCUGUGGGGGAGUUGGGGCAGGUGCUGCUGUCAUGAGGUCCCGUGCACUUUGUCAUCCCAGGACAAAACCCAGAAUUUUCCUUGAAGUGCUUAUGGACAGCAGGAUUUUCUGUUUGUGGAUAAACACAAGAAGCAACAAGCCUGUGGUUCUGAAUGGCCUAGGAACUCUUCUUCCCAGAGAUAGGAAAACCUUGACAGUGUUCAGGAGCUCAGACAGGAGCUGCAUGCGAAGCUACACACUGGGUUUUGACAGCAAGGAUUGAGCCCACGGCCUCAGGUUAAAACUAAAUUAUUUGAGCAAGAGAAACAAUCCACAGACUGCGGAAAACAGCUUAAAGCCACCCAUAUCUGAAAUAUAUAAAGCUGGGGCCAAGGCGUACUGAGGCCGGUGGCGUGCCUGCCUGCUACCAGGAGGCGACCAGCUCCAUCCCCAAGCUGUGCUGGGAUCCAGGAAGAGGAGCUGAUCUGGAUGCAAGUGUGUAGGAGCUGAGCUCUCCGUUACAUCUCAAGGAAACAAACUGUGCUCAUCCUCCCUGCUUCAGUACAUGAACGAGAUGUGAAUGUUCCAACAACACACAUUUCCACACUGUUCUUCAUGUGCACAAGCAGUCCUGUUUCAGUGGAAGACUGCUGAAGUUGUCUGCUGUCCGUCACUCAGAUGGUGUGGAUUUGUUGGUUAGAUAUGGAACAACUUCUGCCUUACCAGCAUGAAGCAAAACAAUCAGGAGGGGCAUCUCCUGACAGCCUGGCUUCUCUCUGUGCCUGUGGGACCCGUCUGCAGGCGGUGCUGCUCUGGUUGCAAGCAUUUGACAUGCUGGAGCAGGAAUAAUACAUUUGCAGCAAAGGUCAUCCUGCAUUAUCUGCAUCCCCUCUGGCUCCAGGUGCCCCCCUCAGUCCCUAUUCCUUCUCCAUGUCAGCUGUUGGUAGGGACAGCCCCGAGGUGGCUGCAGCAGAGGGGGCAAAUGUGGUGCUCACCGGCACCUUUGUCACCUCCCCCUUGGAUCCUUUGGCUAAUGCUUUCUUAAUUUGUUCAUCUGUAAAGUACUUAACAUCCAUCCACCGAAUUAUAGUUUAAUUGCACAAGCUUCCCUGAUAAUGCUGUUCACUGACAUGAGGCUUAGUAUAAAAAGUUGAUCUCUUGUUUGCUGGUAAUUGCGGUGCUGCUGCUCUGUAGUGGCAGGACGUUGGCUGUGCUGCUGGGCAGGAGGGUUGCAGCAGGGAGUGGUUGGUGUCCGAAAUCAGCAAACCCAGGAGGGUGUGCUGCCACUUUGGAAACGGAGAACCUGAGGCAGGGGACAGCUAAAGCCAGUGGUAGGUACUGAGGACACAUUAUUUGGGAAGAGGGCUCAAUCCCUGGGCCCCCAAAUUCAGAUGUUUUCUCUCCUGCAUUCCUGAUGCUGAGGGGAGGCAUCGCUCCAUGGGGAAAGUACCGCUAAGAAAAGCCUGGGGUAGAGAUCUGUAGCAAAAACUUGUAAUUCAGAGCAUUUGUCUGCACCUCUUUCAGGUCAGGCAUCUGCAGACAGCUCAGGAAACCUGUGUCUGUGUCUGUGAGUCUGAACUGGCAUUGUCAUGUCUGACACUAAUGGAGAGGACGUGUUUCUCCAUUAGAAGUUUACCGAUAGUGAUUUCCACUCCGCCGGUAGCUCCAGCUCCCCCGUGGCUGAGGGAGCACUCGGAGGUUGAAGGCUGUCAGGCCUGGAUCAAGGUCAGCAAACCUGCAUUUGAUUCUAAAGAUUUUAAUUAACUUUGCACCAUGUAGAACCUGGGCAUGCUUGAAAAGAAAUAUAGAUAAAUUUUACAUUUAAAUAUUUGAAUAGUGUCUAUAUCUUAUGGUGGCUGUGAAAAGCCCUGUUCAAGUGGGCUGCAGGAAGAGGGGAGAUUUGCAUAGCAGAAUAAUUGGUUUUGCAAAUAAAUCUGGUUCUUGAAAUUUGUAGAUUAGCAAUAAUAUGUCUCCAGAUGAGAAGGAAAGGUCAUGGAUGAAUAAAGCAACAAUUAAACUUUCAGGAGAUUAUU